rnacentral:rRNA from 1 species
GGACCCGCACAAGCGGUGGAGUAUGUGGUUUAAUUCGAUGCAACACGAAGAACCUUACCAGGGUUUGAAAUCAUUUCAAAACUCCUUGAAAGAGGAGCCUCCUUCGGGAUGAAAUGACAGGUGGUGCAUGGCUGUCGUCAGCUCGUGUUGUGAAAUGUCGAGUUAAGUCUCGUAACGAGCGCAACCCAUGUCUCUUGUUGCUCACUGAGUGCUUAAGAGAGACUGCCGACCAACAUCGGAGGAAGGUGUGGAUGAUGUCAAGUCAGCAUGCCCCUUACAUCCUGGGCUACACACGUACUACAAUGGUAAGGACAAUGAGCUGCGAUCCUGCGAAGGCUAG